GACGAACGCUGGCGGCGUGCCUAAUACAUGCAAGUCGAGCGCAGGAAAUUGACGGAACUCUUCGGAGGGAAGGCAGUGGAAUGAGCGGCGGACGGGUGAGUAACACGUAAGGAACCUGCCUCAAGGAUUGGGAUAACUCCGAGAAAUCGGAGCUAAUACCGGAUAGUUCAACGGACCGCAUGGUCCGCUGAUGAAAGGCGCUCCGGCGUCACCUUGAGAUGGCCUUGCGGUGCAUUAGCUAGUUGGUGGGGUAACGGCCCACCAAGGAGACGAUGCAUAGCCGACCUGAGAGGGUGAUCGGCCACACUGUGACUGAGACACGGCCCAGACUCCUACGGGAGGCAGCAGUAGGGAAUCUUCCACAAUGGACGAAAGUCUGAUGGAGCAACGCCGCGUGAGUGAUGAAGGUUUUCGGAUCGUAAAACUCUGUUGUAAGGGAAGAACACGUACGAGAGGAAAUGCUCGUACCUUGACGGUACCUUACGAGAAAGCCACGGCUAACUACGUGCCAGCCGCCGCGGUAAUAC
rnacentral:rRNA from 1 species